rnacentral:rRNA from 1 species
CAAUAGCGUAUAUUAAAGUUGUUGCGGUUAAAAAGCUCGUAGUUGGAUUUCUGCUGAGAACGACCGGUCCGCCCUUUGGGUGUGUAUCUGGCUCUUUCUUGGCAUCUUCUUGGUGAACGUUGCUGCACUUGACUGUGUGGAGCGCUACCCAGGACUUUUACUUUGAGGAAAUUAGAGUGUUUCAAGCAGGCAUACGCCUUGAAUACAUUAGCAUGGAAUAAUAAGAUAGGACCUCGGUUCUAUUUUGUUGGUUUCUAGAGCUGAGGUAAUGAUUAAUAGGGAUAGUUGGGGGCAUUCGUAUUUAACUGUCAGAGGUGAAAUUCUUGGAUUUGUUAAAGACGGACUACUGCGAAANCANNNGCCAAGGAUGUUUACAUNGA